ACAAGUGUGAUAGGUAGAGCUCCUUCCCCUCCCACUGGCAGCUUGGUUACGCCCCUCUAAUCAGCACCGAUUCAUAACAGCCGAGGUUAGAUCACUUCCUGGUCACCUUUAAAUGUAGCUGCAGACAGCCAGUGGUGCAGGACGGAGCACUUAAGCUGCUGGUCACCGUGCUCCCCUCUCCGUUUGGUGCAGUGCUCAUCAUGUGUGUAUGUGUGGCUGUAUCAUGUGGAGUUCCCGGGAACGGGGAAGUGAUGUCGGCUCCUGGUGCAGUAGCUGAGCUCUAGGCACUGCUGUUUUUGCCCAUUUGUCAAAUAUGUUUGGUGUAUUUAUCAACUUUGUUGAUUAGCUAUUUUUUUAUAAGUUAUUGUAGUCAUUAGGUUUUUUUCUCCCCAGUUGGGUUAAGUUUUGUUAUUCUUUUUGGUAAACCAACCUUGAGCUUGCACUUUAUUUUGGAGUCCUUUUGAUACCAGCAUAGGUGGGUUGGUCAGAGGCUUACGGGUGGUGGCUCACUAGGUGGAGGGUCCCCCCCCUACUCCUUGAGUUUACCUGCAUGCUUAAUAUUUUGUUGUGCUCUAACCUGUCUUUCUGCUUUGCAGUGUGUGUGCGUGUGUGUGUGGGUGUCACCCCCCCCCACUUCCUGUUGGUCUCCCUGACACCACCCCUCCUGCUGGUAAAAUGCUCCAGUACAGUCAUACCUUUUUUGAGAGUAUGUUUUUAGUAGUGGGAUUUUAAGCCAAGUCGGCAUGUGAUGCGGUAAAUUCUGUUUAAAUAAAACUUGAACAUUGUUGUGAAACUGGAAA